UCAUUUUCCUUGAGUUGGUUGAGCAGAGAGCUCCCAACAUCUCUCUCUCUCAAAUUUCCACCAUUGUUACUCAAGCUUUGAGCUUAAAGUGGGAGUCCUUAGAGUGAGAUUUUGCACAAUCUUUGUAAACGGAAGUUGGAGAGCUCGCUGCACUCUUCACACCAGCAGUCUCGGAUUCAUGAUCGGGCGACGUUUACAUUUUCAGAUUUGUUUUUCUUCAUAUUUGAGGGAAUGCUUUUCGGAUUUGAAGAUCAAACCAUGGGUUUUACCAUUUCAUAAGUGUAAUGUAGUGAUGGAUUGUACUGCUUCACUUGUUGUUUGGCCGAGUGCUAGGCAAUAGCGUUGAUGGACUUUAGGGAAGCAAGAGCUUCUUAAUUAUGUUUUGUUGAGUGUAUGUUGGUAUUUGUAAAGUCAAGGGCUUAAGAUGUAAUGAGCGAGACUCAAUUUGUGUAACCAAGCAAUGACUUGGAAAGAUGUAAGUCUACAUGGCAUUUAACUGGUUGUUAAACAGUAGACUCUGAUGUAUGAAA